GUGCCAGCUACCGGACCUUCAACUUACAUCAACAUUGCUCCACCCUGGGUCUGUAGCUCCACGACCCUCAGACCGGAUCAAGACCUCUCCUCCCUGGGUCGCCAGCUUCCGGACCCUCAAAUUACAACAAAAUUGCUCCUCCCUGGGUCGGCAGCUCCACGACCCUCACAAUAGAACAAGACCUCUCCUCCCUGGGUCGCCAGCUUCCGGACCCUUGAACUACAACAAAAUUGCUCCUCCCUGGGUUGGCAGCUCCACGACCCUCAAACUCCAACAAGACUUCUCCUCCCCGAGUUGCCAGCUGCCAGACCCUCGAAUUACAACAACAUUGCCCCUCCCUGGGUCUGCAGCUCCACGACCCUCAGACUAGUACAAGACCUCUCCCUGGGUCGCCAGCUUCCUGACCGUCGAACUACAACAAAAUUGCUCCUCCCUGCGUCUGCAGCUCCACGACCCUCACACCAGAAGAAGACCUCUCCUCCCUGGGUCGCCAGCUUCCUGACCCUCGAACUACAACAAAAUUGCUCCUCCCUGGGUCUGCAGCUCCACGACCCUCAGACCAGAACAAGACCUCUCCUCCCUGGGUCGCCAGCUUUCUGACCCUCGAACUAUAACAACAAUGCUCCUGCCUCAGUCUGCAGCUCCACGACCCUGAAACUAGAACAAGACGUCUCCUCCCUAAGUCUCCAGCUCCAACACCCUCAGAUCUGAGCAGCGGCAGCACCAGCUCCUUUCUGGGUCUUCUGUUUCACGAUCCUUAAAUUAGAACAGCAGCACCAUCUUCUCCCUGGGUCUCCAGCUCCACGAAACUCAAGCUAGAAUAGCAGCACCGGCUCCUCUGGGAUCUUCAGCUCCACGACCCUAAGACAUCAGUGGCAGCACCGGCUCCUCCCCUGGACUCCAGCUCCAGGACCCUCAAACUUGAACAGAAACACCAGCUCCUCCCCAGGCCUCCAGCUCCUUGACCCUCAUAAACAAUCCCUUCUCAUGAAAUGUAGCAGUCAGGAAAACUGUAGAGGAAGUAAAUAAAUAAAUGUUUUCCUUUCAAA
rnacentral:lncRNA from 10 species